rnacentral:rRNA from 1 species
AUUGAACGCUGGCGGCAGGCCUAACACAUGCAAGUCGAGCGAGCGUCGGACGGGUGUGUAAUGUAUGGGGACUGCCCGAUAGAGGGGGAUAACUACUGGAUACGGUGGCUAAUACCGCAUACUGUCUCAUAACCCAUAUGGGAUUAGCUAGUAGGUAAGGUAAUGGCUUACCUAGGCGACGAUCCCUAGCUGGUCUGAGAGGAUGAUCAGCCAAACUGGGACUGAGACACGGCCCAGACUCCUACGGAGGCAGCAGUGGGGAAUAUUGCACAAUGGGCGCAAGCCUGAUGCAGCCAUGCCGCGUGUAUGAAGAAGGCCCUAGGGUUGUAAAGUACUUUCAGUCGGGAGGCGUUACCGACAGAAGAAGCACCGGCUAACUCCGUGCCAGUAGCCGCGGUAAUAC